rnacentral:rRNA from 1 species
CCUACGGGUGGCAGCAGUGAGGAAUAUUGGUCAAUGGCCGGAAGGCUGAACCAGCCAUGCCGCGUGAAUGUCAGUGCCCUAUGGGCGUUAAACUUCUUUUGUGCGGGAGCAAUGAUGGUCACGUGUGGCCAGACGAGAGUACCGUACGAAUAAGCAUCGGCUCACUCCGUGCCAGCAGCCGCGGUAAUACGGGUGCUGCAAGCGUUAUCCGGAUUUGAUGGGUUUAAAGGGUGCGUAAGCUGGGCGGUAAGGCUGCGGUUGAAUGCCCCCGCUCAAGGGGGUGAAGUGCCAUUGAUACUGGCUGGCUGGAAUGCCGAUGACGUGGGAGGAAUGUGUGGUGUAGCGGUGAAAUGCAUAGAUAUC